CAGGGUUCGAUUCCGGAGAGGGAGCCUGAGAAACGGCUACCACAUCCAAGGAAGGCAACAGGCGCGCAAAUUACCCAAUCUAGACAGUAGGAGGUGGUAAAGAGAAUUACUAAAUGGUGGUCCUAUGGAUCACUUGUUUGGAAUGAACGUAACUUAAGAAAUUCGUUGAUAAACAACUGGAGGGCAAGUCCUGGUGCCAGCAGCCGCGGUAAUUCCAGCUCCAGUAGUUUGCUUUAAAGUUGCUGCGUUUAAAACGCUCGUAGUUGGAUCACGCAGCAACGUCCAGUAAUCUUUUGGCGCAUCUCGUAGGUUGUGUCCGUAUCUUACGGCCAGCCUUACGGUACGCCAUUAGAUAACAUGCUGGAUGUUGCUAGUUGCACGUGAGAUAGAUUGUUGGCCUUAAAUGUGCCGAUAUUCUUGUCUUGCGGGGUGUGCCUUGAAUAAAACAGAGUGCUUAAAGCAGGUUAUUGCCUGAAUGUUAUAGCAUGGAACGAACAAUCGUGUAUAUGUGCGUGUCACUAACUGGUUACGAGCCUUUGGUUUGUAGUUACUUAUGACGCGCACGGCACCCACCAAAAUAUGGCUGUUGGUUCCAUAUACGGUGAUGAUUAAUAGGAGCGGUUGGGGGCAUCAGUAUUUGGCCGCGAGAGGUGAAAUUCUUAGACCGGCCAAGGACUAACAAAUGCAAAAGCACUUGUCUAGACCGUUUCCAUUAAUCAAGAACGAAAGUGGGAGGUUCGAAGACGAUCAGAUACCGUCGUAGUUCCCACCGUAAACUAUGCCGACCUGGGAUCAGUUUAGAGAUUUACAAGCUCUACAUUGGUCCCCCUGGGAAACCUCAAGUUUUUCGGUUACGGGGAGAGUAUGGUCGCAAGGCUGAAACUUAAAGGAAUUGACGGAAGGGCACCACCAGGGGUGGAGCCUGCGGCUUAAUUUGACUCAACACGGGGAAACUUACCUGGUCCGGACAUCGAUAGGAUUAUCAGAUUAAUAGCUCUUAUAUGAUCCGAUGAGUGGUGGUGCAUGGCCGUUCUUAGUUCGUGGAGUGAUCUGUCGGCUCAACUGCGGUAACGAACGAGACCACAGUCUCUAUUUAAAAGAGGGAAGAAGGUGUUGCGUUGGCCGGUCUCAAGCUGGUCGACGUAAUGCUGCAGGUAGGAUGAUGUGUUUGGUGAGGGAUGUGAUGGGGCAACCUGUUGCGUUCUUUGCUGGGCGUGUUGUUUCUCCCUUCCAUCACGCAGCAGAUGGUUUCGGCCGUUUGUUGCCUUAUAGAGAGACAACGAGGUAUAAACAAGCUCGAGGAGGAGUGGCUAUAACAGGUCAGUGAUGC
rnacentral:rRNA from 1 species